AACACUGUGGAAACAACUCUUGGGCUAAGUUCUGUAAAAACUAUCCAGUCUUGCGAAAGGUUCACCACUGUUCCGUGAUUUUACCAUUCGUGGAUAAUGGCUCUCAAUGUCAUUUGCUUGAGUCUUAAAGCUUUAGGAAUGGCAUUGUAACCUUGUUCAGACUAAUAGUUGUCACUUACUAAAUUUCUCCUCAGUUCUUGAAUUUCAUUUUUUUCAAAGCUUUUAGCGCACUUCAUUUUGCCAGGCGAGUUCUAUUUGGGUGAUUUAUUGAUUGAUUAGGUCUGGAGGAGUCCCGUGAACCGAAUCGACGCCGGAUCCUCCAUGGAGCUCAUCAUUUAUUUUUAGAAGACAUGCAUAAGAGACAAACGAAUGACAGAUUCAGAUUUGAUCAGUCUGACCUGAUUUUUUUUUUAAAUGCAAGCGAGAGGACUUGGGAAUUUUCUGUAAGUAGAUUAGAGCAAACACAAAGGCUGUAGUCCAAGUUUGAUUUUAUGAGUGUUUUUUUUGGUUGCAUGGUUAACCGGGGUGACAUGAGCUUGAAGGGUCGAUGAAGAAGAUUUUGAUAUUGAUUUAGUUGAAUUUAUUUUUGUGUUUGUAAUUAAUGGGAGAAAUUGAAUAAUUUUAACCACCAGUCUACCAUUUCAGAGCCUUUAUUUCAAAAAACAAAUAACAACAAAUAGGACAGCAACAAAAACAUUCCACAUCUGUUUGGGUGUAAACCAUUAAAAUGUUUGCAGAAAAAGCACUUGUUUUUGUGGGAAUGGUGAAACUGUCAUGCAGAUGUCACUUCAAAAGAACGGAUGUUAAGACGACAUCGAACCACAUUUUUAGAUUGAAAAUUUCUCACAGUCUAAAAAAGUAUUAGAAAAAUCUAAAAAGAAAUAGAAAAUGAGACAAAAAUGUACAAAUUCAAUAAAAUUAAUGUACAUUUAGAGAAAGACCCAAAGAAUUACUGCCAUCUACUGUUGAAAUACAGUACUGUAAACCAUACAGAAACUGCAUGUACAAAUUACAAUCAUUCCAAUUCUUUUUUUUUUUUUACAUCGGCCAUUUUCUAAGCCGCAUAUCCUCACAAGGGCCACGGGCAUGCUGGAGCCUAUCCCAGCUGCCUUCGGGCAGUUGCCAGGGUACACCCUGAGCUAGAUGCCAGCCAAUCGCACGGCACACAGAAAAA